AGGGAAUCUUCCACAAUGGACGCAAGUCUGAUGGAGCAACGCCGCGUGAGUGAAGAAGGUUUUCGGACCGUAAAGCUCUGUUGUUGGUGAAGAAGGAUAGAGGUAGUAACUGGCCUUUAUUUGACGGUAAUCAACCAGAAAGUCACGGCUAACUACGUGCCAGCAGCCGCGGUAAUCGUAGGUGGCAAGCGUUGUCCGGAUUUAUUGGGCGUAAAGCGAGCGCAGGCGGAAGAAUAAGUCUGAUGUGAAAGCCCUCGGCUUAACCGAGGAAUUGCAU
rnacentral:rRNA from 1 species